rnacentral:rRNA from 1 species
GACCUCAAAUCGGGUGAGACUACCCGCUGAACUUAAGCAUAUCAAUAAGCGGAGGAAAAGAAACUAACAAGGAUUCCCCUAGUAACUGCGAGUGAAGCGGGAAAAGCUCAAAUUUAAAAUCUGGUGGCCUUUGUCCAUCCGAGUUGUAAUUUAGAGAAGCGUCUUCCGCGCUGGACCGUGCACAAGUCUCCUGGAAUGGAGCGUCAUAGAGGGUGAGAAUCCCGUCUUUGGCACGGACACACCAGGGCUUUUGUGAUGCGCUCUCAAAGAGUCGAGUUGUUUGGGAAUGCAGCUCAAAAUGGGUGGUGAACUCCAUCUAAAGCUAAAUAUUGGCGAGAGACCGAUAGCGAACAAGUACCGUGAGGGAAAGAUGAAAAGCACUUUGGAAAGAGAGUGAAACAGUACGUGAAAUUGUUGAAAGGGAAACGCUUGAAGUCAG